UUUCCGAAUGGGGAAACCCAGUGUGUUUCGACACACUAUCAUUAACUGAAUCCAUAGGUUAAUGAGGCGAACCGGGGGAACUGAAACAUCUAAGUACCCCGAGGAAAAGAAAUCAACCGAGAUUCCCCCAGUAGCGGCGAGCGAACGGGGAGGAGCCCAGAGCCUGAAUCAGUGUGUGUGUUAGUGGAAGCGUCUGGAAAGGCGCGCGAUACAGGGUGACAGCCCCGUACACAAAAAUGCACAUAUUGUGAGCUCGAUGAGUAGGGCGGGACACGUGGUAUCCUGUCUGAAUAUGGGGGGACCAUCCUCCAAGGCUAAAUACUCCUGACUGACCGAUAGUGAACCAGUACCGUGAGGGAAAGGCGAAAAGAACCCCGGCGAGGGGAGUGAAAAAGAACCUGAAACCGUGUACGUACAAGCAGUGGGAGCCUCUUAAUGGGGUGACUGCGUACCUUUUGUAUAAUGGGUCAGCGACUUAUAUUCUGUAGCAAGGUUAACCGAAUAGGGGAGCCGAAGGGAAACCGAGUCUUAACUGGGCGUUAAGUUGCAGGGUAUAGACCCGAAACCCGGUGAUCUAGCCAUGGGCAGGUUGAAGGUUGGGUAACACUAACUGGAGGACCGAACCGACUAAUGUUGAAAAAUUAGCGGAUGACUUGUGGCUGGGGGUGAAAGGCCAAUCAAACCGGGAGAUAGCUGGUUCUCCCCGAAAGCUAUUUAGGUAGCGCCUCGUGAAUUCAUCUCCGGGGGUAGAGCACUGUUUCGGCAAGGGGGUCAUCCCGACUUACCAACCCGAUGCAAACUGCGAAUACCGGAGAAUGUUAUCACGGGAGACACACGGCGGGUGCUAACGUCCGUCGUGAAGAGGGAAACAACCCAGACCGCCAGCUAAGGUCCCAAAGUCAUGGUUAAGUGGGAAACGAUGUGGGAAGGCCCAGACAGCCAGGAUGUUGGCUUAGAAGCAGCCAUCAUUUAAAGAAAGCGUAAUAGCUCACUGGUCGAGUCGGCCUGCGCGGAAGAUGUAACGGGGCUAAACCAUG
rnacentral:rRNA from 1 species